CCUACGGGAGGCAGCAGUGGGGAAUAUUGCACAAUGGGCGCAAGCCUGAUGCAGCAACGCCGCGUGAGGGAUGACGGCCUUCGGGUUGUAAACCUCUUUUAGCAGGGAAGAAGCGAAAGUGACGGUACCUGCAGAAAAAGCGCCGGCUAACUACGUGCCAGCAGCCGCGGUAAUACGUAGGGCGCAAGCGUUAUCCGGAAUUAUUGGGCGUAAAGAGCUCGUAGGCGGUUUGUCGCGUCUGCUGUGAAAUCCCGAGGCUCAACCUCGGGUCUGCAGUGGGUACGGGCAGACUAGAGUGCGGUAGGGGAGAUUGGAAUUCCUGGUGUAGCGGUGGAAUGCGCAGAUAUCAGGAGGAACACCGAUGGCGAAGGCAGAUCUCUGGGCCGUAACUGACGCUGAGGAGCGAAAGGGUGGGGAGCAAACAGGCUUAGAUACCCUGGUAGUCCACCCCGUAAACGUUGGGAACUAGUUGUGGGGUCCAUUCCACGGAUUCCGUGACGCAGCUAACGCAUUAAGUUCCCCGCCUGGGGAGUACGGCCGCAAGGCUAAAACUCAAAGGAAUUGACGGGGACCCGCACAAGCGGCGGAGCAUGCGGAUUAAUUCGAUGCAACGCGAAGAACCUUACCAAGGCUUGACAUACACCAGAACACCGUAGAAAUACGGGACUCUUUGGACACUGGUGAACAGGUGGUGCAUGGUUGUCGUCAGCUCGUGUCGUGAGAUGUUGGGUUAAGUCCCGCAACGAGCGCAACCCUCGUUCUAUGUUGCCAGCACGUAAUGGUGGGAACUCAUGGGAUACUGCCGGGGUCAACUCGGAGGAAGGUGGGGAUGACGUCAAAUCAUCAUGCCCCUUAUGUCUUGGGCUUCACGCAUGCUACAAUGGCCGGUACAAAGGGCUGCAAUACCGUGAGGUGGAGCGAAUCCCAAAAAGCCGGUCCCAGUUCGGAUUGAGGUCUGCAACUCGACCUCAUGAAGUCGGAGUCGCUAGUAAUCGCAGAUCAGCAACGCUGCGGUGAAUACGUUCCCGGGUCUUGUACACACCGCCCGUCAAGUCAUGAAAGUCGGUAACACCUGAAGCCGGUGGCCCAACCCUUGUGGAGGGAGCCGUCGAAGG
rnacentral:rRNA from 1 species